UUUUUUUUUUUUUAUUUAGAGAGAGAAGCAGGCUCCAUGGCUCCAUGCUGGGAGCCUGACAUGGGACUCCAUCCCGGAUCUCCAGGAUCACACCCUGGGCUGAAGGUGGUGCUAAACCGCCGGGCUGCCCUUUUAAAUAUAUUUAAAUAUGACUCUUUUUAAAAUAAGUAUUUACCCAUGUAGUUACCAUGUCUGGUAUUUUGCAUUACUUUUCGUGUGCCUGUGAUUUUGUAAAUGUAUUUGACAACUGAGAACAGUGAAGCUAAGAGACAUGAGAUGACUUGACCAUGGCCUCUGCUGAACAGGUGACAUCGUUACUGUAACUUCAAGAACAUAUAUGUCUGCCUUCACUGUCCAUUGUUCUUUUCAUUGUGCUGAACUUGUUUCUCAUUUCCUACAUAUUCUAUUUUCUACGCUUUUUUCAAAAUUCAGCAUCUGUCUUGAGCUUUAGAUAAACAGUAUGAGGAAUUGCCAGUUUUGCAUUACUUUUGAGUGCCAUAUCUGUAACAGUUUUUGACCAUUCAGGGCAAAUAAUCUACCCACACAUUAAAUACAAGAAACUUGUUUUUUCAAGUCAUGACAAAAAAAAAAAAGUUUAAUGGUUGUAGUAGUUUUAGUGAUACACAUGACACAAUUUCCCCAUUUAAUCAAUCCCAUCAUUUAAUCAAUGAUGUUUAGUAUAUUCACAGAGUUGUACAACCAUCAUUACAAUCUAAUUUUAUACACUUCUUAGUGCCAAGAAAAACAACAACAAGAGCAAGGCAUCCAUCAUCAGUCACUCCCUAUUUCCUCCCAAUUCUCUUCCUUCCUACUCUUAGGAAAACAUUAAUUUACUUUCUGUCCCUGUAUAGUUGUCUAUUUUGGAUAUUUCAUAUAAAUGGAAUUACCAUUGAAAUUGGUAUUUUAUGAUCUUUUUGACUGGCUUAUUUCACUAAGCAUAAUGCUUUCAAUGUUCCUCCAUGUUGUAGCAUGUAUCAGCAUUUUAUUUCUUUAUAUUACUGAAUAAUACUCCAUUAUAUAAAUAUAUCAUAUUGCUAUAGCAAACAUUUGUGUACAAAGUUUAGUACGGAGACAUGUUUUUAAUUAUCUUGGGUAUAUAACUAGGAGUGAAGUUGCUAGAAGUCAUAUAACAAUUUUUUUCUUUUUUUUAAGAUUUUAUUUAUUUGAGAGAGCAAGAGGAGAAAGUGUACAGAGGGAGAAGCAGGCUCCCUGCUCAGAAGGGAGCCCAAUGUAGGGCUUGAUCCCAGGACCCUGAGAUCACGACCUGAACCAAAAGCAGAUGCUUAACAACUGAGUCAUGCAGGUACUCCCAACAGUUCUAUGGUUAAUAUUUUGAAGACAAGCCAAAGUUUUUUCCAAAGUGGUAUGAGGAUUCUAGUUUGUACAUAUCCUUGCUAACACUUAUUACUAUCCUUACUUUUUAUUAUAGUCAUUCUGGUGGGUGUGGAGCAACACCACAUUGUUGUUUGGUUUGCAUUUCCCUAUUGGGUAAUGUUGUGCAUUUUACCAGUUGCUUAUUUUUCAUUUGUACACAUCUUUGGAGAAAUGGCUACUCAUAUAUUUGCCCAUUUUUACUAGUUGUUAUUAUUAUUGUUAUUUUAUUAUUUAUUAUUGAGUUGUAACAGUCAUUUGUAUAUUCCAAACACAAGACUCUUGCCACAUAAUUUCCAAAUAUUUUCUCUAAUUCAGUGGGUUUUCAUUUUAUGGGUAUUGUGAUUUUGUGAAGUUCAAUCUAUCUGUUUUACUUCUUUUGUCACUUGUACUUUUGGUGUCAUAUCCAACACUGCUUAGCAAACAAUUUACAACAACCAUUGAGCUCUUGGGUCAUCCAUAAAAAAAAAAAAACAAAAAAACAAAAAAAUA
rnacentral:lncRNA from 1 species